GGCUGCAGUCGAGGAUCUUCGGCAAUGGGCGCAAGCCUGACCGAGCGACGCCGCGUGGAGGAUGAAGGCCUUCGGGUUGUAAACUCCUGUCGAGGGGGAGGAAGGGGAAACCUUGACCGAUCCCUGGAGGAAGCACGGGCUAAGUUCGUGCCAGCAGCCGCGGUAAGACGAACCGUGCGAACGUUAUUCGGAAUCACUGGGCUUAAAGCGCGUGUAGGCGGAUGGGAACGUCGGAUACUGAAAGCCCCCGGCUCAACCGGGGAAGUGGUUCCGAAACGACCUGUCUGGAGGGACGUAGGGGGAUCUGGAACUUCCGGUGGAGCGGUGAAAUGCGUUGAGAUCGGAAGGAACGCCCGUGGCGAAAGCGAGGUCCUGGACGUCUGCUGACGCUGAGACGCGAAAGCUAGGGGAGCAAACGGGAUUAGAUACCCCGGUAGUCCUAGCCGUAAACGAUGGGCACUGGGUAGGGGGCUCGCCGAUGGGCCCUCUGCCGUAGCGAAAGCGUGAAGUGCCCCGCCUGGGGAGUAUGGUCGCAAGGCUGAAACUCAAAGGAAUUGACGGGGGCUCACACA
rnacentral:rRNA from 1 species